GAAGGGGGCUAGCGUUGUUCGGAAUCACUGGGCGUAAAGGGCGCGUAGGCGGCCGAUCAGGUCGGGGGUGAAAGCCUGUGGCUCAACCACAGAAUGGCCUUCGAUACUGUUCGGCUCGAGACCGGAAGAGGUGAGUGGAACUGCGAGUGUAGAGGUGAAAUUCGUAGAUAUUCGCAAGAACACCAGUGGCGAAGGCGGCUCACUGGUCCGGUUCUGACGCUGAGGCGCGAAAGCGUGGGGAGCAAACAGGAUUAGAUACCCUGGUAGUCCACGCCGUAAACGAUGGAUGCUAGCCGUUGGCGAGCUUGCUCGUCAGUGGCGCAGCUAACGCUUUAAGCAUCCCGCCUGGGGAGUACGGUCGCAAGAUUA
rnacentral:rRNA from 1 species